rnacentral:rRNA from 1 species
CGGAUUGGAGUCUGCAACUCGACUCCAUGAAGCUGGAUUCGCUAGUAAUCGCGCAUCAGCCAUGGCGCGGUGAAUACGUUCCCGGGCCUUGUACACACCGCCCGUCAAGCCAUGGGAGUCGGGAGUGCCUGAAGUUCGUGACCGUCACAGGAGCGACCUAAGGCAAGACCGAUGACUGGGGCUAAGUCGUAACAAGGUAAC